ACCACUCAGAGCAACCCGCUCUUGGAAAUAGCGUCCAGGACGGAGGCAGAGGGUGAGGGCAGGGUCCAGCCCUGCAGCCACAGCGGUUCCCUAUUGCGGUUAACCCACUGGCCCAUGUUCUCCACAAACACAACUCCCUGCCAUCAUCAACAGCAGCAAAGUCAUCCCUUCGAUGACGGAUCAAAGCCUUUUGUGUUGUUUGUUUGAAGGGAAAAAAAUAUAUAUAUUAAAAUUGGAUGGCAACUUUUUUCUCCUUUCCAAACAAAACCAGAGCUUGAUGUACCAGGUUGCUAACCCUGCAAACUUGUCCAGAAGCCUGAUGAAAAUGCUUUGCAAAACAGGCAACGCGUGGCUCUCCUGCUGGUGCGCUCUGCGCGUGGUGGAGUCAGCUAGCGAGGAAAGAAGACAUCGCUGCAUCUGCUCCACAUUAAAGGAAUCAGUUCAACAGUCGAGAAAUGAGUAAGCAUUAAAAAACACGUUUCCCAGGGUCCAGCCACUCCAAAGUUACAAGACGAGCCAUCCACAACUUUCUCUGAGUGAGAGCUGUAACAGACUGACUCCUGAGACAAAUUCCACUGUUUUUUAAAAUAUUUUAUUAAUAAUCCAUUAGUUAAGGAAUAUAAGGACGUCUUCUUACACUUUAACACUAAAGAGUAUUUGUGGAGUAAGAACAGUCUCUGAAGAAAGAAAGUUAUAAUUAAGUACAGCAUGGAA